rnacentral:rRNA from 1 species
UACGAAGGGGGCUAGCGUUGCUCGGAAUUACUGGGCGUAAAGGGCGCGUAGGCGGACAUUUAAGUCAUGGGUGAAAUCCCAGAGCUCAACUCUGGAACUGCCUUUGAUACUGGGUGUCUUGAGUGUGAGAGAGGUAUGUGGAACUCCGAGUGUAGAGGUGAAAUUCGUAGAUAUUCGGAAGAACACCAGUGGCGAAGGCGACAUACUGGCUCAUUACUGACGCUGAGGCGCGAAAGCGUGGGGAGCAAACAGG